rnacentral:rRNA from 1 species
AUGAACGCUAGCUACAGGCUUAACACAUGCAAGUCGAGGGGCAGCAUGGUCUUAGCUUGCUAAGGCCGAUGGCGACCGGCGCACGGGUGAGUAACACGUAUCCAACCUGCCGUCUACUCUUGGACAGCCUUCUGAAAGGAAGAUUAAUACAAGAUGGCAUCAUGAGUCCGCAUGUUCACAUGAUUAAAGGUAUUCCGGUAGACGAUGGGGAUGCGUUCCAUUAGAUAGUAGGCGGGGUAACGGCCCACCUAGUCUUCGAUGGAUAGGGGUUCUGAGAGGAAGGUCCCCCACAUUGGAACUGAGACACGGUCCAAACUCCUACGGGAGGCAGCAGUGAGGAAUAUUGGUCAAUGGGCGAGAGCCUGAACCAGCCAAGUAGCGUGAAGGAUGACUGCCCUAUGGGUUGUAAACUUCUUUUAUAAAGGAAUAAAGUCGGGUAUGGAUACCCGUUUGCAUGUACUUUAUGAAUAAGGAUCGGCUAACUCCGUGCCAGCAGCCGCGGUAAUACGGAGGAUCCGAGCGUUAUCCGGAUUUAUUGGGUUUAAAGGGAGCGUAGAUGGAUGUUUAAGUCAGUUGUGAAAGUUUGCGGCUCAACCGUAAAAUUGCAGUUGAUACUGGAUAUCUUGAGUGCAGUUGAGGCAGGCGGAAUUCGUGGUGUAGCGGUGAAAUGCUUAGAUAUCACGAAGAACUCCGAUUGCGAAGGCAGCCUGCUAAGCUGCAACUGACAUUGAGGCUCGAAAGUGUGGGUAUCAAACAGGAUUAGAUACCCUGGUAGUCCACACGGUAAACGAUGAAUACUCGCUGUUUGCGAUAUACGGCAAGCGGCCAAGCGAAAGCGUUAAGUAUUCCACCUGGGGAGUACGCCGGCAACGGUGAAACUCAAAGGAAUUGACGGGGGCCCGCACAAGCGGAGGAACAUGUGGUUUAAUUCGAUGAUACGCGAGGAACCUUACCCGGGCUUGAAUUGCAGAGGAAGGAUUUGGAGACAAUGACGCCCUUCGGGGCCUCUGUGAAGGUGCUGCAUGGUUGUCGUCAGCUCGUGCCGUGAGGUGUCGGCUUAAGUGCCAUAACGAGCGCAACCCUUGUUGUCAGUUACUAACAGGUUCCGCUGAGGACUCUGACAAGACUGCCAUCGUAAGAUGUGAGGAAGGUGGGGAUGACGUCAAAUCAGCACGGCCCUUACGUCCGGGGCUACACACGUGUUACAAUGGGGGGUACAGAGGGCCGCUACCACGCGAGUGGAUGCCAAUCCCCAAAACCUCUCUCAGUUCGGACUGGAGUCUGCAACCCGACUCCACGAAGCUGGAUUCGCUAGUAAUCGCGCAUCAGCCACGGCGCGGUGAAUACGUUCCCGGGCCUUGUACACACCGCCCGUCAAGCCAUGGGAGCCGGGGGUACCUGAAGUGCGUAACCGCGAGGAGCGCCCUAGGGUAAAACUGGUGACUGGGGCU